GAGGGUAUUGCUCAGUGGUAGAGUGCAUGCUUGGUAUGCAUGAAGCCUUGGGUUCAAUCCCCAGUACCUCUG
rnacentral:tRNA from 1 species